CCUACGGGCGGCUGCAGUGGGGAAUAUUGCACAAUGGGCGCAAGCCUGAUGCAGCCAUGUCGCGUGUGUGAAGAAGGCCUUCGGGUUGUAAAGCACUUUCAGCGGGGAGGAAGGCGUUAAGGUUAAUAACCUUGGCGAUUGACGUUACCCGCAGAAGAAGCACCGGCUAACUCCGUGCCAGCAGCCGCGGUAAUACGGAGGGUGCAAGCGUUAACCGGAAUUACUGGGCGUAAAGCGCACGCAGGCGGUCUGUCAAGUCGGAUGUGAAAUCCCCGGGCUCAACCUGGGAACUGCAUUCGAAACUGGCAGGCUAGAGUCUUGUAGAGGGGGGUAGAAUUCCAGGUGUAGCGGUGAAAUGCGUAGAGAUCUGGAGGAAUACCGGUGGCGAAGGCGGCCCCCUGGACAAAGACUGACGCUCAGGUGCGAAAGCGUGGGGAGCAAACAGGAUUAGAUACCCGAGUAGUC
rnacentral:rRNA from 1 species